rfam:Oryza sativa (indica cultivar-group) chromosome 1, whole genome shotgun sequence.
AGUAAGUACAGUUUUGCACUAUUCACGUUCAACGUUUAACCGUUCGUUUUAUUUGAAAAUUUUUUAUGAUUAGUGUUUUUAUUGCUAUUAGAUGAUAAAAUAUUAAUAGUAUUUUAUGUGUGAUUAAAUAUUUUCAUUUUUUCAUAAAUUUUUUAAAUAAGACGGACGGUUAAACGUUGGACACGAAUAUCUACGGCUACACUUAUU